rnacentral:rRNA from 1 species
UACGUAGGGUGCAAGCGUUAAUCGGAAUUACUGGGCGUAAAGCGCGCGUAGGCGGCUUUGCAAGUCGGGGGUGAAAUCCCCAGGCUUAACCUGGGAACUGCAUUCGAGACUGCAUUGCUAGAGUAUGGGAGAGGGAAGUGGAAUUUCAGGUGUAGCGGUGAAAUGCGUAGAUAUCUGAAGGAACAUCAGUGGCGAAAGCGACUUCCUGGACCAAUACUGACGCUCAUGUGCGAAAGCGUGGGGAGCAAACAGG